rnacentral:rRNA from 1 species
UACGUAGGGGGCGAGCGUUGUCCGAAGUUACUGGGCGUAAAGCGCGCGUAGGCGGGGGAUUAAGUGAGAGGUGAAAGGCUGGGGCUCAACCCCAUGCAGUGCCUCUCAUACUGGUCUUCUUGAGGGCGGUAGGGAGAAGUGGAAUGGCUGGUGUAGCGGUGAAAUGCGCAGAUAUCAGGAGGAACACCGGUGGCGAAGGCGGGUCUCUGGGCAACAACUGACGCUGAGGAGCGAAAGCGUGGGGAGCGAACAGG